UUUCCGUAGGUGAACCUGCGGAAGGAUCAUUACUGAGUGAGAGCCCCUCGGGGUCCAACCUCCCACCCGUGUUUAACGAACCUUGUUGCUUCGGCGGGCCCGCCUCACGGCCGCCGGGGGGCAUCUGCCCCCGGGCCCGCGCCCGCCGAAGCCACCUGUGAACGCUGUCUGAAGUAUGCAGUCUGAGACAAUUAUUAAAUUAAUUAAAACUUUCAACAACGGAUCUCUUGGUUCCG
rnacentral:misc_RNA from 1 species